rnacentral:lncRNA from 1 species
UUCGGAUUCAUGCAUUUAAACCUAAGUUCACUUGUGACAUGAAAAUUGAUAAGAUUCCCAUUUAGAAGCUAUGUGAAUUAGAGAGCUAUUGUCAUCAAGCGGCAUUGAGCUCAGGACUUGUGUGAACCUAGUGGAUAGGGCCAUUGAGGGAUUUGGAAAACAUGUUGAACAUCAAAUUGCCUAAGUGUCAUCAAGGGGCACUAGGCGUAGCAAAUGUUGAAACUUCACAUCGUGACUUAGACUAGAUCUUCGGGAUGCUAGUUAUGAUACCAUGUUAGAGACAUGAGGAUUGGAUAUUUGAGACUUGGACUAUGCUUGCUUGCCAUUUGUGCUCAUUCGCACAUGCUUGUGAGGGUCGCUCCCUACAAGCCGGCACUCCGGAGUUAGCCUACGCGACUACGUUCGCUCGUGCGGUAUUGAGAAGCCUACGGGGUCGAGUGGGACAGACACAUUCCAUGAGUAGGGAUGUCGGGCUACCACAGGCACUUAGGCGGCACAAGCCGGACUACCUUUGGUAGGUCCUUAAUUGGAAAUGGAAAUCGACACAGUGUUGAGUUUAUUAUGAUCACUACUUAAUAGAGAAUAGUAGUUGGGUUACUUGGACUUACUUCUAGCAUAGUUUGGGGUACUUGGAUAUACAUACAUAUAUGUAGCAUGCUAGGAGAUGUUGCUUAUUGCAUUCAUAUAUAUACAUUGUUGCCAUGAUAAAGCAUGAUCUUCAUAAUUUCAUAAAGCAAAUAAUGAUUGUUACUUGUGGUUAUGUUGGGACGUACUUGUUCAUCAUGAAAUAGGUGUACAUCAUAUUUGACACAAUGUAGCACCUCAGCAUUUUUAAUUAUGCUUUCAUAAAUGCAAUUUAUUCAUUACUAAUGCUCUUCUCUGUCUUACCCUUUUCUUUUGGGGCCUAGUGGUGCAUUGAGCUGAGGUCAGUAAUUGCCCACUGGGAACUAUAAAUUAUAGUUCUCACGCCCUGUGUUUUAUGUUUUCUUUCAGAGCCUUCCACGCCGGGAGAGGCUAGGGACCGUGGGAAGGGAGUUGCUUCGAGCUAGCUUCCUCGAGGACGAUUCGAUAGGUGGUCUACCUCUCGUUAUUUUAUUUUGUGAGAGGUUGAGAGUUUUACCAGUGUAUUAGAGACCACCAUUUUUGUACUUUUGAGACUCAUAGUGUACUACUUAUGGUUUCUUUUAUCGUCUAGCUUUAUCUCUUUACUUUGGUGUAUAUGAUAGAACUUUACUCGCUCUGAUAUCCUUAGUUGCUAGUUAUUUUACUUCCUUAUUUGUUCUAUCUCUUGCUUUACUUUCGCUUUUAUUGUAGACGCCUUAUAUGUGUAGACAUAUGGCGGGUCUGGGCACGCUACCGGGAGGGCCUCCGCCGGUCCCAGGGCGUGACAUGAUUGGAGAGCAAGUUUUCUUUCUCUUUUUCUCUCUUUCUCUCUAGUUCUCACCCCUCACUCCUUUUCUCUUCUAAUCUCUCCACAAAAAAGGAUUAAUUGGAGAAGAAGUUGGAGUAGAAUCCUUGAAAGUUGGAGAGUAGCUUGGAGCUCAAGCUUUCAUCUUCUUCCUCUCUAUUAGAGAAAGCAUUGGAGGUAAGCUUUGGUAGUAAUUAUGGUAGAUUGCUAAGGAAUGAUUAGUAUGCUCUAGGAAUGGGUUUAGAGAGCUCCCUACAUGCUAAUAACAUGUUAAUUGCAUGAAUCAAGUUCCAAUUUGGUGAUUUCUUGCAAUAGUAGCAUGUUAAGACUCAAAUUGGGGUUUUGCAAUAUGUAGAGGUUUGAUCUAAAUUGAACCUAUGCGAACCUAAUUGUUAGGUAUACGAACGCGCUGGCGAAGUCGGUUCGGCGAUACGACGAGGCUAUGCGAAGAUAUUGAAGAAAAGGCC